AUUGAACGCUGGCGGCAGGCCUAACACAUGCAAGUCGAGCGAGCGGCGGACGGGUGAGUAAUGUCUGGGAAACUGCCUGAUGGAGGGGGAUAACUACUGGAAACGGUAGCUAAUACCGCAUACCAUCAGAUGUGCCCAGAUGGGAUUAGCUAGUAGGUGGGGUAACGGCUCACCUAGGCGACGAUCCCUAGCUGGUCUGAGAGGAUGACCAGCCACACGGGGACUGAGAAACGGUCCAGACUCCGACGGGAGGCAGCAGUGGGGAAUAUUGCAAAAUGGGCGCAAGCCUGAUGCAGCCAUGCCGCGGGUGUGAAGAAGGCCCUCGGGUUGUAAAGGACUUUCAGUCGGGAGGCGUUACCCGCAGAAGAAGCACCGGCUAACUCCGUGCCAGCAGCCGCGGUAAUUC
rnacentral:rRNA from 1 species